CAUAAACAAGCCAAACCUGUUGUGAAGUAGGGACGGAAAGCCAAGGGCCUUAGGAUAGUAAAAGGUAGCCUAGCUGCAUUAA
rnacentral:ncRNA from 1 species